CACACAUCACAAGGAAGUUUCUCAGAUUGCUUUUGUCUAGAUUUUAUGUGAAGAUAUUUCCUUUUCUACCAUAGGCCACAAAGUGCUCCCAAUGUCCACCUGCAGAUCCUACAUAAAGAGUGUUUCCAAACUGCACCACCAAAAGAAAGGUUCAACUCUGUGAGAUGAACGCAUACAUCACAAAGAAGUUUCUCUGAAUUCUUCUGUCUAGUUUUUAUGUGAAGAUAUUCCCUUUUCUACCAUAGGCCUCAAGGUUCUCGAAAUAUCCACUUGCAGAUUCUACAAAAAGAGUGUUUCAAAACUGCUCAAUGAAAAGAAAGGUUCAAUCCUGUGAGAUGAAUGCACACAUCGCAAAGAAGUUUUUCAGAAUUCUUCU
rnacentral:lncRNA from 1 species